rnacentral:rRNA from 1 species
GAGUUUGAUCCUGGCUCAGAACGAACGCUGGCGGCGUGCUUAACACAUGCAAGUCGAACGCGAACGAGUUCUUCGGAACUUUAGUAGAGUGGCGCACGGGUGAGUAACGCGUAAGUAAUCUACCCUCGCAUUUGGGAUAACCCACCGAAAGGUGUGCUAAUACCGGAUACGUCUAUUUUAAUAUCUUUUUUAUAGAGAAAGGUGGCCUCUGAUCCAAGCUACUGUGCGGGGAGGAGCUUGCGUACCAUUAGCUAGUUGGUAGGGUAAUGGCCUACCAAGGCAACGAUGGUUAGCGGGUCUGAGAGGAUGAUCCGCCACACUGGAACUGAAACACGGACCAGACUCCUACGGGAGGCAGCAGUGAGGAAUAUUGCGCAAUGGGGGAAACCCUGACGCAGCGGCGCCGCGUGGAUGAUGAAGGCCUUCGGUUGUAAGCACUUUGU